CAGUCGCCGCGGGAAUACGUAGGGAGCAAGCGUUGUUCGGAUUUACUGGGCGUAAAGGGCGCGUAGGCGGCGCGGUAAGUCACUUGUGAAAUCUCUGAGCUUAACUCAGAACGGCCAAGUGAUACUGCUGUGCUAGAGUGCGGAAGAGGCAACCGGAAUUCUUGGUGUAGCGGUGAAAUGCGUAGAUAUCAAGAGGAACACCUGAGGCGAAGGCGGGUUGCUGGGCCGACACUGACGCUGAUGCGCGAAAGCCAGGGGAGCAAACAGGAUUAGAUACCCGGGUAGUCCCUGUCUCUUAUAA
rnacentral:rRNA from 1 species